rnacentral:lncRNA from 1 species
CGCAUUCUGCCAAUUUGAAAAUACCUUUUCUUCUCCUCUUCUGAAUGGCUUAGGUCCCCAAACCGUCACAGUAUUUGAGCCACAAUGGAGGUAUUAUGUUGCUUACAGUUCUUCAGUGGGGAUUGGGUGCCAUCGUCUGCCUCCCAGAAGCGUUGCGCCAGCCUCUCAAAAGGUUCUUGCUGUUGGUUAAUUACAGGUUGGAGUUCCCGGAAGAGCAUUUUCUUUUCUUAAGGAUUAUCGCUCAUUCACCAGCCCGGAGCAUUCCUCAGGCUCCUCUUUCCUGUUUAAUCUCCUCGGGGAAUCAGGUCCUUGGGGACCGUAAAAGGAGCCUCUCUCCGCGGCGUGGACAAGGGGUGCCUCUCUCUGUGUGCCGGGAGAGCCCGGGGAUCUCCCGCGCUCCCGGCGCCCCAUAGUCUGCCUCACUCCCUGUUGGUGCGAAAAGUGACGGCGGUCAUGGAGCACUCCUUGGUCCGUGUGGUCAUGCAGCCCUUCGUCCACGCGGUCUGCAGGACUUCUUCCGUCACGUGAUAAUCCACGACCCGCACAAGCACGGAUUUCGGUGGGGCUGCGGCGACUCGCGGCGGGGCUCCAGAGGCAGCAUCUAAGUCUAUACCCCUGCCAGAAAUUCCCUUUUCUUGUGGAAAGAGGGGAGAAGGGCAGUCGAGUUCCCGAUCGUCUCCGCCUGUCUGGGAAAGAUCCUCUCCACCGGCCACCUCUUCCCGUGCAGGGUCCUCUCGAGUCCCCAACCACCUCUCAGGGUGCAGAAGAAAGAGCACUUUCUCUCUGACCCAGGACUCACGAUCCACGUUCUCUCCGGCCCGGCGGUCCUCGUGGGCGCCGCCCCGGCUUACUCUCGUCCCCGCCGCCGUGGUUUUCGGGGCGUGCGGGGACAGGGGAGCCCCGCGCCCCACUUGGCGCGGAAAGGACGCAGCGCGCCCCAGGCUGCGGGGAAAGUCCUUGAGAUUCGUACCUCCGCGGGGACGCGGCGCCCCCAUCCCGGUAGGAGGGUCAUUCAUUCGUUGGGCGUUUCACCGGUUCACGCAGCCAACUCUCGCCGAGCUCGGAAAGCGCGGGACGGGCAGGCCCCGGGUGCGGUCUCCGCGCCGCCGGGACUCCCCGCGCGCUAUCCGAGUUUCCAUUCCCACCUUCGGUUUUGUCCAGAGCUGAGGCACCAAACACACCUUUCGCACUGCGCCCGCUGAAAUGCCC